GUGAGGAAUAUUGCGCAAUGGAGGCAACUCUGACGCAGCCAUGCCGCGUGCAGGAAGAAGGCGCUACGCGUUGUAAACUGCUUUUAACCGGGAAGAAACCCCAGGACGUGUCCUGGGUUGACGGUACCGGAGGAAUAAGCACCGGCUAACUUCGUGCCAGCAGCCGCGGUAAUACGAAGGGUGCAAGCGUUACCCGGAUUCAUUGGGUUUAAAGGGUGCGUAGGCGGAGCGUUAAGUCAGUGGUGAAAUCCUGCAGCUUAACUGUAGACGUGCCAUUGAUACUGGCGCUCUUGAGUGCGCUUGAAGUGGGCGGAAUGUGCCGUGUAGCGGUGAAAUGCUUAGAUAUGGCACAGAACACCAAUUGCGAAGGCAGCUCACUAAGGCGAUACUGACGCUGAGGCACGAAAGCGUGGGGAUCGAACAGGAUUAGAAACCCGUGUAGUCC
rnacentral:rRNA from 1 species